GGUAUAACUUCAGAAUACAUUAUUUCCAGUUGCAGUGCAGGCAACAAGAUGUACGAUUUAUUAACAGUGGUGCUACCAGUUGCCUGUUGUUACAUCUAGUUGUUUCCUACUCUGCGUGCAGUGCUUGUUGUUACCACAAUGUAAGUCACUGACUUUACUGGUGAUGAAUGUUAACUUUCAUUGUUGUCCAGGGGUUUCUUGUUUCAAGCAGAAGGGAAGGUACCUUGGAGCUACGGGUGUGCUUUUCAUGGGCCAUGAGAGGAGGUGAAGCAGCCUGCUUGGAAGAGAGGAAAGGAGCUUUUUGUCUAGUUUGGAAGACAGGUGAUAUGAAAGGUCCAUAAGGUCAGCACCUUCUUUCUAAGGGCCCAGGAGAUAAAGUCAUUCCUAAAAACAAAUACACUUCAGGCUUGUCUUACAUGUCUGGAAGUGCAUUAUUGAAACAGAAGGAAAACACAAGCUAGUGGGAUUCGCUUCCUUUGGAAUACCAGCGUACCUCUUUGA
rnacentral:lncRNA from 1 species